rnacentral:lncRNA from 1 species
GGAGAGCGAAGGGGAAGGAAAGAGGGGGAAAGGCGAGGGGUUGGCCGCUGUGCGCACGCGCACGUCGAACUCUGUGUGCCCCCGGGUUCCUGGCUACAGCGGCAUCCACGUGGAGAAGGUGGCGGCUAAUGCCCAAGACCCAGGAUGAUCUCCACAGACCAGGAAGAAGGCUGUUUUAAACGUGAUACCCAGAAGAGAGGGACAGAGAACUGCCCAACAUCACACAGCAAGGGAGCGGAGGACAGAAUCAAAACUGUAUUCCCCGUCGCCUGAGGAUUCAUUUCCAGAGGGAUUUUAGAAGAUGAGACCCAUCAAGUGGAUGUCACAUUCGCCUUCUCCAUGACUCAAGCGUUCAGGCCAACAGGCCCACACCAAGGCCACUGGGACCCCCUCUGCCCUUCCAGGCUGCCCUCCACUCUUGGGUCCCCGGGAGAGACAAGAGGACAGCCACAAAAAAGAAGCUGGUAAGCACUGCUGGUCACCUACUAUUGGCAUCACAACAGCCUGUCAUAGAGAUGGAAUGUGUGAAAGCACUGGGCAUCCUGGGUAGGGCUCAUCCUUGCAAUGGCAAUGGCACUGGAGCUACACCCAGGGCAACCUCCCAGCUGCACACUCUACAGCAUCAGCCUGGCAGUCUGGAAGGACCUCGGCAGCUCCCUGGAAGCUCAGCCUUGAAUUCCCAAGCUGCCUGCAGCCAGAGCCCCAGACCCACACAGCCAGUGUCCUGGCCUGACCCCCAUCUGUAAGCUCUGAGUGGUCCUGACUCUCCCACCAUUCCCACCAGCUCUUAGCACUACUCGCC